rnacentral:rRNA from 1 species
CAGUCGCCGCGGGAAUACGGAGGGUGCAAGCGUUAAUCGGAAUUACUGGGCGUAAAGCGCACGCAGGCGGUCUGACAAGUCAGAUGUGAAAUCCCCGGGCUUAACCUGGGAACUGCAUUUGAAACUGUCAGGCUGGAGUCUUGUAGAGGGGGGUGGAAUUCCAGGUGUAGCGGUGAAAUGCGUAGAGAUCUGGAGGAAUACCGGUGGCGAAGGCGGCCCCUGGACAAAGACUGACGCUCAGGUGCGAAAGCGUGGGGAGCAAACAGGAUUAGAUACCCGCGUAGUCCCUGUCUCUUAUACA